AUGGGGCCAGCAAGACAGCCCGGAUCCCACCCAGGUGUUCACCACCCUGGCAGUGACACAUCAACCUUGGAAGACCGUGGUUGUGGUAGAGAUCCGGCAUUGGUUGGCAUACCACGCUGCUUCAGUGUAGUAGCCAUUGGCUCCCCUGACAUGCGGGUGGGAAACCUGGCAAAUCCAGGGUCUUCCCCUGCCUGUUUUUGUGAAGUCUUCCUGGAAGCGGCCUUAGUGAUCUGUGAGCGCUUGGUGGUCUUGCGUGGUGGGGACAAGCCGCCAGGCAGGAUGGCAUGGUGUUGCCAUAAUGAAAGCCACCUUCUUCCUGUGGGUCUUGCUGAGUGCUGAUUGCCCUGUGUGAGUAGAGCCCUUGGAGGCUUCUGAUGUGGGUGAGUCACCCUGGGAGGCAGAAGGAGUUCAAUUUAGACCAAGUCUUGCUUUAUGGGAGCUUUCUCUAGGGUGUGGUUGGUGCCCAGGGCCCUGCAGGCUGUGGAUCUGAGCAUAAUCUGGCCAGGAAAUGGGCCCCGUUUCUGUGGGAGUAACCCCUGGAUCCUGGUACCUGAGGACGACCACCUCUUGUCUUGCGCUUUCCGGCGGACGCACAAUUGCACUCAUCUCACACACUAGUAAAGUAAUGCUCAAAAUUCUCCAAGCCAGGCUUCAGCAAUACAUGAACUGUCAACUUCCAGAUGUUCAAGCUGGUUUUAGAGAAGGCUUCUGAUGUGAGUGAGUCACCCUGGGGGACAGGAGGAGUUCAAUUUGGACCAAGUCUUGCUUUGUGGAGGUGACAGAAUUCCAGUUGAGCUAUUUCAAAUCCUGGAAGAUGAUGCUAUGAAAGUGCUGCCCUCAAUAUGCUAGCAAAUUUGGAAAACUCAGCAGUGGCCACAGGACUGGAAAAGGUCAGGUUUCAUUCCAAUCCCAAAGAAAGCCAAAGAAUGCUCAAAAUACUGCAGAG
rnacentral:lncRNA from 1 species